rnacentral:rRNA from 1 species
ACAAUGUUCUUAAAGUUUGACCUCAAAUCAGGUAGGAGUACCCGCUGAACUUAAGCAUAUCAAUAAGCGGAGGAAAAGAAACCAACCGGGAUUGCCUUAGUAACGGCGAGUGAAGCGGCAAAAGCUCAAAUUUGAAAUCUGGUACCUUCGGUGCCCGAGUUGUAAUUUGGAGAGGGCAACUUUGGGGCCGUUCCUUGUCUAUGUUCCUUGGAACAGGACGUCAUAGAGGGUGAGAAUCCCGUGUGGCGAGGAGUGCGGUUCUAUGUAAAGUGCCUUCGAAGAGUCGAGUUGUUUGGGAAUGCAGCUCUAAGUGGGUGGUAAAUUCCAUCUAAAGCUAAAUAUUGGCGAGAGACCGAUAGCGAACAAGUACAGUGAUGGAAAGAUGAAAAGAACUUUGAAAAGAGAGUGAAAAAGUACGUGAAAUUGUUGAAAGGGAAGGGCAUUUGAUCAGACAUGGUGUUUUGUGCCCUCUGCUCCUUGUGGGUAGGGGAAUCUCGCAUUUCACUGGGCCAGCAUCAGUUUUGGUGGCAGGAUAAAUCCGUAGGAAUGUAACUUGCUUCGGGAAGUAUUAUAGCCUGCGGGAAUACUGCCAGCUGGGACUGAGGACUGCGACGUAAGUCAAGGAUGCUG